AAACCUAAAACCGGCAUAUUUUCUUUGUCUUUUGCGAAAUCAUUUUUCUCCCCCAAAUCUUGCGAACCCUGACGACGUCGGCACAAAACCUCUCCUAGCCUCCAACGCCUGCACACAAAAAAAAAAGAGGCAACCGUAUGUCACUUCUCACUACCGAACCGGCAUAAUCCCAGAAGCAUUUGUCAGCGCCAACACCAAAUCUGAAAGGUUUUUCGAUGUCGGAACCAAAAAAGGGAUCUCAACGUUGUUUCUGUUCGACGACGGGUCCCACCUUCUCCAAUAGAAUUUAUAGCAAGGGACGGUAAGUUUGUUGUUAGGUUUACAUGAGUGUAAGUCUUGUUGUAAGAAAUCAAUUGAGGCAUGUAAUCACACGUAAUGUUUGCGUUGGUGGAUUUUAUGGCCAAAUUCAAACCUGUGGAAGCUGACUGAGUUGGUGCUGGACUUAAUGCUCGGGAAGGUGACGUGGUGGUGGUGGGUGCUGUGGAUGGAGUUACAAUUUGAUUGUCUUGAUGAAUGUAGAUUUUGUGGCAAUAUCGUGAUGAAUGUAGAUUUUGUGGAGUUACAAUUUGAUUGUCUUCUUGAUGGAAUUGCAAUUUUGUGGUAGUAUCGUGUUUGCUUUUUGCUGAAUGUAGAUUCAUAUUGUGAAGUGGGAUGUUACUGUAAAUUCGCAUGUAUGUAACUUCAAAAGUUUAUAAAUUUUUUACUAAUAUAGAAUUCAUGUUUAUGGUCAGAGAAAAUUGGUUCCAAACCGAGGAAAUGGAGCUGGCUCGAGCCAAGCGCAUAAGGAAGUUUAAAAUUCUCAAUUCGUGCCAACUCCAGGCUUCCAGCAGCAAUCUGAAAUUUUUUUAAGUUCAUCCCCACCAAAACUAAUCAUUCCUGAUCAAUUCGAAAUAGACCAAAUGAUUAGAGAAAUAGGGAAUCUGUUUUUGAAAAGUUUGAUGUAUUUGUUGAUGUGCAUAGGUAACUACUGGUGACAAUUUAGAGGAGGUUAUUUUGAUGGUGUGGAUGAUGUUUUGGCUUUGUGAUUGUGUCCAUUUUUUUGUGUUGCUGGAGAUUUAUUUUUGGUCGUAAAGGCAACAUUAAUGUAAUCAGCU
rnacentral:lncRNA from 1 species